AUGAAGGAAGAGCUGGCUCUGAGCAGGAAAACCUCAACAUGGGUGGAGGACCAGCCAGCUGAACCAGCGAUUUAGAAAGCCCUGGAAAGACACCAGUGCUGAGGGAGACGUCGAGCAGCCUUUGGUGCUACCCUGCAGGAAGCUGCUGGACCUGUCAGUGCUACCCAUGGCUGGAUGCCGUGGAGUUCGUGGCAGAUGACCCCAGGAUGAAGAAUAAGCCAUAACCGUUGGGAUUUUGGGUUGGAAGGCUGUACAGCUGCUGGAUCUGCCUGCACCAGCGUCAGGAGGUUUGUGCUGGCACGACAAGAGGUGAGCAGCCAUGGAGACCAGAUCACCCCUCCCAGCAGCUCUGCAGGCACCCACCACCCUGCGCCGGUGGGAACAGCCCUGGGAAGCAGCUGCAUUCUGCUGAAUGGGAAGGCGUGUCUUUCAGAGAGAAUUAGUAAUAAAUCAAGGACUGAGACUCAGAGGGAGAAGGGACGAUGAGGCUGAUACUCAGACCUGAACUCAGCAGCUGUACCAUGGAGCAAAGCACAGAGCCCCAGGAGAUACAUACGCAGCGGAGGAGAGCGACCUCGUCCUGGGCAGCCUCAGCAAAGCCUUCCCUGCUUUUCAGGACCUUCACAGCUACAUGUUUCUUCCUCCUGGGAAAUGAAUCACAGCUGCCAGCCAACACAUGCCGGCGUGGCCCCAACCAGCAGCACCUCCCCUUCUCCCAGCCACCCAGCGCUGGAGCUCCCCUGGGAGGGUGCUGCCCUCCUGCAAACAGCCUUAGUCUGCAGCACCCCAGGCCUGUGGGCGACGCUGCCAGCGACUGGCAGCACAGCUGCCCCCGGGGACCUGCAAGGGGCUGGAGAGAAGAUGUUCAGCACAUGUGGACUGCAGGAUCUAAAUGAGAAGAACAAAUGCAGAGCAAGGACCGAUCCCACCUCAUUUAUGUUCUCUGGUUUCCGGAGACCAGCUCUGCUUGUUGCACCCCACUGAAAUCGCUGCCAGGUUUCCCUGUGCUUGCAAGGAUGCUGAUGUGCUCCCAGGCUUCUGUGAGAGGGGCUGGGCCUGCCCAAGAGAUCAGCCACCCUUUCCCAGCACCCCAGAAGGCUGUUAGCACCUCACC